rnacentral:rRNA from 1 species
UACGGGGGGGGGCAAGCGUUGUUCGGAAUUACUGGGCGUAAAGGGCUCGUAGGCGGCCAACUAAGUCAGACGUGAAAUCCCUCGGCUUAACCGGGGGAACUGCGUCUGAUACUGGAUGGCUUGAGUUCGGGAGAGGGAUGCGGAAUUCCAGGUGUAGCGGUGAAAUGCGUAGAUAUCUGGAGGAACACCGGUGGCGAAGGCGGCAUCCUGGACCGACACUGACGCUGAGGAGCGAAAGCCAGGGGGAGCAAACGGG